rnacentral:rRNA from 1 species
UACGUAGGUGGCAAGCGUUGUCCGGAAUUAUUGGGCGUAAAGCGCGCGCAGGCGGUCUUCUAAGUCUGAUGUGAAAGCCCACGGCUCAACCGUGGAAGGUCAUUGGAAACUGGAAGACUUGAGUGCAGAAGAGAAGAGCGGAAUUCCACGUGUAGCGGUGAAAUGCGUAGAGAUGUGGAGGAACACCAGUGGCGAAGGCGGCUCUUUGGUCUGUAACUGACGCUGAGGCGCGAAAGCGUGGGGAGCAAACAGG